rnacentral:tRNA from 1 species
CAAAACAUAGCUUAAUUAAAAGCAUUCAGCUUACACCUGAAAGAUGUCCAAAAAAUAGGACUAUUUUGA